rnacentral:rRNA from 1 species
GACGAACGCUGGCGGCGUGCUUAACACAUGCAAGUCGAACGGAAAGGCCCUGCUUUUGUUGGGUUCUCGAUUGGCGAACGGGUGAGUAACACGUGUGUAACCUCCCCUUGUCUUUGGGAUAACUUCAGGAAACUGGGGCUCAUACCGGAUAGGAGCUCCUGCUGCAUGUUGGUGGUUGGUAAGUUUCGGCGUUUGGGGAUCGACUCGCGGCUUAUGAGCUUGUUGGUGGGGUAGUUGCUUACCAAGGCUUUGACGGGUAGCCGGCCUGAGAGGGUUAACGGGCACAUUGGGACUGAGAUACGGACCAGAAUCGUACGGGAGGCAGCAGUGGGGAGUAUGGCAGAAUGGGCGGGAGCCUGAUGCGGAGACCCUGGGUGCGGGAUGACGGCCUUCGGGUUGUAAACCGAUUUCGCAGGUGACGAAGAGUGAGUGACGGUAAUGGGUAAAGAAGCAACGGCUAACUACGUG